UAGGGAAUCUUCCGCAAUGGACGAAAGUCUGACGGAGCAACGCCGCGUGAGUGAUGAAGGUUUUCGGAUCGUAAAACUCUGUUGUUAGGGAAGAACAAGUACGAGAGUAACUGCUCGUACCUUGACGGUACCUAACCAGAAAGCCACGGCUAACUACGUGCCAGCAGCCGCGGUAAUACGUAGGUGGCAAGCGUUGUCCGGAAUUAUUGGGCGUAAAGCGCGCGCAGGCGGUCUCUUAAGUCUGAUGUGAAAGCCCACGGCUCAACCGUGGAGGGUCAUUGGAAACUGGGAGACUUGAGUGCAGAAGAGAAGAGUGGAAUUCCACGUGUAGCGGUGAAAUGCGUAGAGAUGUGGAGGAACACCAGUGGCGAAGGCGACUCCUUGGUCUGUAACUGACGCUGAGGCGCGAAAGCGUGGGGAGCAAA
rnacentral:rRNA from 1 species